rnacentral:rRNA from 1 species
AUUGAACGCUGGCGGCAUGCCUUACACAUGCAAGUCGAACGGCAGCACGGGUGCUUGCACCUGGUGGCGAGUGGCGAACGGGUGAGUAAUACAUCGGAACAUGUCCUGUAGUGGGGGAUAGCCCGGCGAAAGCCGGAUUAAUACCGCAUACGAUCUACGGAUGAAAGCGGGGGACCUUCGGGCCUCGCGCUAUAGGGUUGGCCGAUGGCUGAUUAGCUAGUUGGUGGGGUAAAGGCCUACCAAGGCGACGAUCAGUAGCUGGUCUGAGAGGACGACCAGCCACACUGGGACUGAGACACGGCCCAGACUCCUACGGGAGGCAGCAGUGGGGAAUUUUGGACAAUGGGCGAAAGCCUGAUCCAGCAAUGCCGCGUGUGUGAAGAAGGCCUUCGGGUUGUAAAGCACUUUUGUCCGGAAAGAAAUCCUUGGCCCUGAUACGGUCGGGGGAUGACGGUACCGGAAGAAUAAGCACCGGCUAACUACGUG